AACGAACGCCGGCGGCAGGCUUAACACAUGCAAGUCGAACGCCCCGCAAGGGGAGUGGCAGACGGGUGAGUAACGCGUGGGAAUCUACCCAGUUCUACGGAACGACACAGGGAAACUUGUGCUAAUACCGUAUACGCCCCAAGGGGGAAAGAUUUAUCGGAAUUGGAUGAGCCCGCGUUGGAUUAGCUAGUUGGUGAGGUAAUGGCUCACCAAGGCGACGAUCCAUAGCUGGUCUGAGAGGAUGAUCAGCCACACUGGGACUGAGACACGGCCCAGACUCCUACGGGAGGCAGCAGUGGGGAAUAUUGGACAAUGGGCGCAAGCCUGAUCCAGCCAUGCCGCGUGAGUGAUGAAGGCCUUAGGGUUGUAAAGCUCUUUCUAGUGGGGAAGGAUAAUGACGGUACCCACAGAAGAAGCCCCGGCUAACUUCGUGCAGCAGCCGCGGUAAUGUAUCGUACG
rnacentral:rRNA from 1 species